CCAGUUUCACACAGACCUCCCACUUCACAGAUGCAGAAAAGCCUACAGCUCAGCCCCCUGACUUACUUCGUAAUGGCCUUGACCACCGUUAAAUACAAACUAGACCAUUUGGUGGCUUAUUUGCCCUUGUCUGUGCCAUCAGCUUUGACAGAUGGUGGUCAACAUGGUGACCAAGAAAUGUGUGCUGGGCCAGCUCUCCCUGGGGUCUGUCAAGAAGGUCUGUCUGUUCCUCAUUUUGUGUCUGUGUGGCUGUUUUGUGGACCUCAGCUGCACAGGGACUCAGACAGGCAGCUGCGGGGGAGGAGCCAGCCAGGGGGUGGAAAGGAGACCAGAGACCAUUGGCAUAGGAAUGGCCAGGAACUUUAGGGUGGCGAAAGCAAGGCUGCUCUUCCCCAUAUCCUUGCCCUCUGCACCCCACAUUGCCCUCUUACGGCUUGCUCUUCCCGUCAGGCCACAUAUUCCUUCCAUUUUCACCAGUUUGCAAUUGGGUAAAAGAGGAAGAUAGACUCCUGUAAGCUGGGAACUGAAUCGGACGCACGAGAAAAGAACAGGUAUCCAUGUAGUAGUUUCCUGAGAACCGGAACUCAUGAGAAUCCACUUGAGGACAGAUGUGGGAUUGCCUUGUGGAUAACGCCCUACUGCGUAGGAAGGACGGGAGAGGAAGAAGCUGACCAUUUUGGAAAUCUGCCACCUUUAUUACCUGUCCGUCAGCCAUUUCUCUACCUGUCUAGCUCCUGGUCUCUCAGUGUGUUGAGGACAUGAGGAUAAAGGAGGAGAGGGGAACUAGAUGGAGGGACUGGGCAUCCUUCCUGUCAGGCUCCAUGGUAUGUCAGGGCCACCUGGCUCUACGGCACGUGACCUGAAUCACUCACGAAAAGUGGCUGCCUAGGAAAAACAGUGAGAGCCACUGGAGGCUCUCGAGGUCCACACCCUCUUCAGGGCUGUCCAAAGUUGUGGCCACUGUGAGUGGUGUGGAAGAGCAGCCAAGAGGCAAACAACAACUUGGCCAAAUCCAGUCAACUUCUUCAGAGACUUAGCUACUGCGAGUCUUAAACUCACCCUAUACAUUCUCUCCCUUAGUUUUUUCCCUCUGAGUCAGCUGACAUAGACAUCUUGGGGAAUCUGCAAUGUGGCACAAAGGGACUGUCAAGGCAGAGGCAGCAGAGAGUUCCCACUGCUCAUCAUCACGCGCUCCUUCUAGUGUGCUGCCGGGAGCAGACAGGACAGAGGCCUGCAGGAUGCUGACAGGUGAAUGAGAAGGCUCUGGAGUAGAGGCCAGCAACUCCAUUCCAACCACAGAGGAGCCGGGAGACACAAUUCGCUGCAAGAACAUCUCUCCCUUCAAGCGAGCUUUAAUCGCCCCCAAAUAAAAGAAAUUAUCUCUACCAGAAAAAUAUGGAAGCAGGUGAACAGAGGCAGUUCCUUCUUCUCCUCACCUCCCCAGGUGAUUGACAGCUACUCGCAGCUGCCCUCUAUUCCCAGCCAGCGGGUUGGAGGGGCACAGAUUAAAGGCCCGGCUGACAAAGGCCAUGGGAUUAGAUAGUUCCUCAGAAAUCCUUCUUUGAGCACUUAAAAGCCAAUCUAGUUUUAUUUCCCAAUAACGAGGCUUAACAGCAAUUCAGAGGCAAAGGCGGCAACCCGCAGACUUCCGCUGAGCGCUCCCUUCACAUCUGGGGCUGGUGGCUGCCGUGCACACGGAACAGCCCACAUCGGGAGGGAGGGUGCCUAGGAAGCAAGGCACAAAUACUUCACUGCAUGAUGGAGCCAGUCCCGCACGGAUAAUCUUGGUAUGUUUGCCCUCCCAGCUGCUGUUACCACCCUUCAAGCAGGGCCCACCCCGACAGCCAUCAAAGUAGCAGACCCCGGAAGAUGGAUCGGAAUAGGAAAAGACUUCCUCUCCAGCACCUAAGAGGCCACUUGCAAAUGGAUGUCGUUGCAGAGACAUCUGUAAAGUCCUUAGCGCAAAGGAUGACAUUUGUUUAGAGCUCACGUCUGAUUGCCUCAGCAGGCUAGCGUUUCAGAGUAUGCAUUCUCGGGCUGGUGGUACUGGUUUGGGAGAUUAUGUGACCUCUAGUUCGUAGAAACAGGUCGCUCACUGAGGGUAGCGGAGUGGGAGGAUAUAGGAGACGGUAGAUUAAUCAGUAAAAUGCUUGCUAUAAAAGCAUGUGGACCUAAGUUUUUAUCUCUAGAACGCACAUAAAAACCUAGGUGCGGUGGUGGGUACUUAUAAUCCUAUCGCUGGGGAGAUACAGCAGGAUCCCUGAGUCUAACCGGCCAGUCAGUCCACCUGAAUCUACAAACCCCAGAACACAGGGAGAGACCCUGUCUUUAAAAAAUGAGGUAGACGGCUCCUUAGGAACAAAUCCUGGCCUAUACAAGACUUCAUGGCAUCUGCGGUCCUAACUCAGACUCUAGGAUGCUUCCUUGGCAUCCCCAGGCCACUAGGGACUCAGUCAGUCUGGAUCAUCUGUUUCUGGAAGCUUCUCUAGAUCAGUGAGGACAGCGGGUUGGAAUUACACCCAGGAAUAGAAAAGUUGUCUUUCUGGGUUACUUGGGUUACCUUUUACAUUGCUCGAGGCCAGGAUCUACGUGGUUGGUUUUACAUCUUGGGCUGAUUCCUACUGGGAGCUUCUAAACACCCGUGCUGAGCCUGGCUUGGCUUUUUCAGAUGAAAAGCUUUGGUGGUACAGUCUGGAGAGACGUUUCAGUGUUCCACAGGUGAUUCUCAUGUGCAGCUUCAUGAGAAGCAGUGAUUUACACACCCUCUGCUCUAAAUCUGUUAGGGUGCAGGGUUGGAUCUUCCUGUUCAUCUGCUCUCUGGGCUUGAGAGUAUAAUAAGCAAUGAAUUUAUAGUAUGAAUCCCUGCGGGGGAGGGGGGAGAGAGAUAGAGAUAGAUAGAUAGAUAGAUAGAUAGAUAGAUAGAUAGAUAGAUAGAUGAUAGAUAGAGAAGAGAGUCCUGUUCCUGCAGGCUUCCUCACCUCUAGAAAAAACCUACUGAUCAGGGAGCUGCUUCUCCUAUAGGAAUUCCUUUCAUCUUGAGAACAUCCAGGAGUUUUGAGAGGCCCCAUAACCCCUCACAUUCACUUUUUUUUUUUUAACCUGCAAACCCUUUGAAAAAUCAAUGUCCUUGAAGAUGGAAAAAGCCAGGCUUUGACUCAGGUGGCCUGGAAGGUGCUUGUCAAUUCUAAGUGUGAGCUGUAGGUUGUGGGGCAUCAGUCCUCCCAUCUCUGGCACGUGUAACACGUCCAGAACUGUCAGCUCAGCCUCGAGAAGCUCAUGAGAUGGUGCUUGCCCUGACUGAAGUUACUGAGUCCGUAGAAAGGUCUCAAGACUAGCUGGAGGAGCUGAGAGAGAGAGAGAGAGAGAGAGAGAGAGAGAGAGAGAGAGAGAGAGAGAGAUAUCCUGACUUAAAUGACAGAAGAUGCUCAGUGAGAAGCAUUCCCACUUAAACGAUGGAAUAAAUCAAACUGGCUAGCAGGCACACCAAAGUCCUUUAAACCUGCAUGAAUUCUUAGGCAAAUGCCACCAACAUUCAGAGAUGCAUUGCUCUCUUUCCUCUCGGACACCCUCCCUACCCCAGGACACACCUCUGCCUCUUCGCCAUGACAGUUUCUCACAGUCUGAUCGUACUGAACACUGGGUAGAGAAAUAGGGCUCUGGUUGGUUUUCAAAAGUGCCCCCACAUAUCUUGAAAGAACCUAAUUUAUUUGGCCCCAUUUUUUUCCAGGGUGAGCUCAUGGGAAACCUCAUCUGGGGUAUCUGGGGCUCUGUAAGCCGCUCAUUAUGUGGAACCUGGAACCCCACUUCAGAUGAUGCCAGGAGUGACAUCUUCUAACGAGGUCACAGUGAUUAUGGGCAAAUGACAAUUUCCAUGUCUGCCACCGCUGCUUAAAUUGUACAUGGUCUAAAAGAAUAGUAAGGAGCUAAUUUUGUCCCUUGGGUGGGGACCCACAUGAGGAUGUCACAGGUUGCUGCUGAGAAGGCAGUCCUGCCCUGACAUCACAGAUCUGAAAUUCUGGAGCAGGCUCAAGUUGCUUUGGGCUGGUGCUUUGUGUGAGUGUUAACAGAAAACUUUCUGGGAAAGGACUGGGCUUUAGAAUUUAAGCAUUGGCUGCAUAGGACGGGUGAUGGUGACACAUCCUUACAAUCCCUGAACUUGGGGUUGGGGGCACUAAGGCAGGAAGAUUAUGCAUUGAAGUCUAGCAAGACCUUGUCUCAAAACAAAAUAAUUAAAAGAAGUCACUGCAUUUGUGUGCUGACACUGCCAUAACGGUCACGACUGGGUGGUAUAAACUACAGAAAUCCACUGUCUUGAAUGCCAGAAGUCCAAGAUCAAGGUAUCAGUGUCACCAGAGCUGUUAGAGUCGAAGCCUGGGCUAUGAUGGGCUUCACAAGCUAAGCAUGGCCACCCGUUCUCAAUAUGUCGAUUUAGAAACAACCCUGAACAGCAGAGAAAGGAGAUUUAUUCAAUGCAGCCACACUUGGAAGAAGAACAAAUAAAGGGGUCUAGUGAGCUCCAAGUUUGUCUUCCAGGUUCUAACACAAGGUUUAGAUUUAAAUAGAAGGCAAGAAGCAUGCAGAACUGAGCAGUCCUGGCCAAAGUGUGGUCCUACUCAGCACUGGUCACCAAUGCCUCUGCUCUAGACUCUCCUGCAAGGUGUUCCCGCAAGUCGGCAGAACUUUGUGACAUCUCUUUCUGGGAGACAGAAUCUUUUUCUAGCACGAGGCUUUAGCCUUUUUCUUCUCCCAGCAUGAGAUUCCUGGGGGAGAUUCAAUUCCUUGGAGAUUAAUAGUCUGAUAGCCAAAGGGUGGGGCACAAGUCUGUCUCCUUAGGGGAGCUUAAUUCUUGCCAAGAUAUUUACACAAGCAGACUUGCUUCUUGUGAGGGAGGGAUCUGAUCCUGGUUUACCUCCCUGGCUUCCUCGUUCCUAGUUUCCUUGUUCCCCUUCACGCCCUCUUUCCUGUAAAGGUAUCUGUCUGUAUGUCCAGAUUUCCUUUUUUAUAAAGUCACCACUCAAAGGCCCAGCGUAAUAAUUAUGUUUUACUUUGACUGUGUUGGUGACGUCCCUGUCCGCGUGUGCCAGCCCAUAAAGGUGCUGAAUGAGAGCUCGGAAGACAUGUCUUUCCGGCAAGGCUCAAUUCAACUCAUGGCAGAUUACAUCUAAAGUAAAUCUCGUAAAAACGAAGUUUUAUGGUUAAUUUCUAGUGCGAACUUGACAAUCGUUCUGUGCCUUCCCUUCAUUAGUUUACUGGAUUCUUACGAUCCUUUGAAAUCACUGCCGUCAGUACGCAGUGAUAAAGGUCACGUGUCAAGGAGCAGAGCCUUAUCUGGUAAGAGCCGGGUCGUAAGGUAAGAGCACAUGGUUCAAUGCCUAGAGAACUUACCAGCAAUAUUCUACAUAUCCUCUGCUUUAUAAGCCUCAGUCGGAGAUGUUUUGAGGUUUGUAGCAGCUUAAACUUUUUACUCUGGGGGGACUUAAGUACACAGGGCCCGAGCUCUUACUCAUGGAAACCUGUUGCGUGCUGACGUCAUCAAGGGUGGGCCGUCACAGCCUGAGCAUGACCGAGAUAGCCUGGGAAACGGGAGACUUCUGCGAGGGUUGGGUUUUGCCCUGAGGACUCCAAGACAGCCUUUGAAACCUUCCCUCCAAAGCAGAGCAGUCCAGGGUGAGUCUCCUAUCUCGUCCACUCUUCCCUUCUCUCCUGUAACUCCUUCGAUCUCCAAUAAAUUCUGUCUAACUGUGUCUUCUUGUCUGCAUCUCACCUUGACCCUGGCCAUUCCAUUUCUGGUGCUUUCUGUAAAUCUUAGCUUUUUGAAUCUCAGGACCAGUUUGCUUUCUGGUGUGUCAAAUCUCCACAAUUAAUAGGUUUCGUUUUCAUGGUUCUGACCCCACCCCUGACCAAGAAUUUUUCCUCCCUGCUAAAAACUAAGGCCGAAAAUGGGUGCCUUUGCACCUCUAGAGGCCACCUCGGGUUUGUUUAAAGAUGGCUCAAAGCUGAUGGAAGCUGGUUCCCUGACCAGCAUGCACAUAUGUGGGCUGCUUUGAUGUGACCGAUGGGAUCGUGUUUGCUGAUAGGGCCCGCUAAUAAUCCAACUAGGUGAUGUCAUUCUUGGCAGGGCCCAGAAAGAAAAACAGAGGCCAGCAGCUCCCCUUGGCUGCCCUGGCCCCCUUAAGGGAUCUUUAACUUGGCUUUUGCCAAGCAGAUGAAAUUGGAAAGUUCUGUGAACCCAGCUGAGUUUUCUUGCCUCCCAGGGAUGAGAGUUUUUGUCAAAAACCUUGGGCCACUAGGCUGGUUUCCAUAAAUCCCUUGGAAAGCGUUGUACUAUCUUUGGAAAUACUCUUGGGAGUGGAGACUUCUCACGGAGCUGGGUGAUAACGAAUUCCUGAAGACCCAGACUUUGUUCUAGAAUCGAUCUGCCCUGUAGGGAAGAGAUAGGAGCACCUGACCAGAGUAGCUUAAAUGGCCGAGGACGGGGUAGGAGCACACACUGGGAGGAGAGUGGGGAUCCAGCUCAGCUCAGUUGCUACUGUACUUGCUUAGGGUGACCUAGGGCCUUUAUAAAAUUGGGUAUAGUGAUGUAGGCUCACAAACCUAACUCUUGGAUGGAGAUAGGGGCAAGGGACUCCAAACUUCAAGGCCAGCCUGGGCUAACAAGACCUUGUUUAUAAAUAACCAAGCAAACAAACAAGCAAGCAAAUAAAUGAUAAAUCCUUAGUCUCUAAUAAAACGCUUUCUCUUUUAAUUUCCUCAAUUUUCUUAGCCCAAAUGCAAAGGGAAUCUUAUUUCCAAGUAGGGAGAUUGUUAGUAUUCUAUUUAAGCUCCGCCCCACAGUAGCCUGGCAACAGCCUGGUAAGCUCCGCCCCACAGUAGCCUGGCAAGCUCCGCCCCACAGUAGCCUGACAUUAUAUAAGGGUCUGCUUGCCCCCCCCCUCCUCAUUCUUUUUGCUCUUCUCUUCUCUGGUCUUCCCUGUCCCUUCUCUCCCCACCCCUUUCCCUUCACGUGCCCAUGGCCGGCCUCCUUUCCUCUCUUCUACUCUUCUCUCAUUAAACCUCUCCACGUGGAACCGUGUUGGCUCGGUGUGUUCUGUCUGGGCGCGAGCCGAGAUUUAAUCCCUAACAGAGAUUGAUUGCAGUGCCAUCCACAACUCCACUCUGCUCCUGGAAGCAUAUUCUGUGGCCAGCUCCCUGCCCAGAGUUGACCCUUUAGCUCCUCUGUGCCCACACCAUGGCUUCUCUGGUCCCGUAGGCAGAUACUGUUCAUGGUAUGAAACCCACACAGAUCUUUAUCUGUGUUUGUUAGGGAAGUCUGUGAAAUAUUCACGGCCUUGAGGGAAAGCAUUCACCAUAAAAAUCAAAGGCUCCUGUCCUUGAUCUGCAUAGCCCAAGUUGUAAAACUCCCUUCAACAGGGUGGUCAUUUUUACAUCGGCUUACAAAGAUGUACUUUCGGCCAAAUUGCCUUCAUAUAAUGGGGAGAGCGCAUUCCUUUUUAGAGUCAUUGAGAACCAGGGACUUUUAUGGGCUGGGGAGAUGCGAGAAGUAGUAGUUAUUCAGGAGAAAUUCUACAAAUAAAUAUAUUUGGUGGUUUAUAGACUAGAUCCCACCUAGCAGGCUUGGAAGGGUAGCAACUGUUGGUAAAGCAGAUGAUAUUUUCCAGUUGGCUUUUAUGAUAAUCAGGGCUCUGUUGCCAUGGAUAAAUUCCAUCAGGAUGCAGAGUUGAAAACACUCGGAGGGAAAGGCUGAUGGUGAUUUCCAGUCCUACAGAGCUACCUCUGUCCAUUCCUCAAAUACUCAUCGAUGGUCACUAUGUGCCUCCAGGCACUCAGGGAGCAAAGGGCUGCAGUGGUGGCCGGGCAGAACUAGCUCUGGGUGUCAGAAGCAGGCAAUGAGGUAACAGUAGUUAAAACUGUGGACUAUUGUCAAACAGUGUUAAAUACUAUUGAAGAUGCUAGGCGGGAAGAAGGAUGGGGGAGCAGUGUGCAAUGUAUACCCAGAACAGGUUAUGCUGAAAAUGGAGCAUUCUGGUAAGGACCUGGGGGGAGAAGGGGAGACUGUCACUAGGACAUAAAGUGCAGUGAAGGCAGAGGCCACUAUGACUGUGGCAAAUGAAAGUAAUAUUGAGGAGAGGUCAGAGGAAGUUGGAGAGCAUGUUGGAUGAGCCCGAAGGGCCAGCCACCCAGACUUUCUACAGACGGCCCUUCUCCCAACACACACAUUUCCCAACAUUCCAUCGGGUACACUCAGUUCCUGACUGUUGUUGAACUCCCUGGCUACUGCCCUUUCGAAGCCCCUUUCUGGUGGCUACUAUGAGUUCUGGAAGUGCGGUGGAACUUUUAUGAGUCAGCAUGACUGGGCUAAGGGACACCCAGGUCAGGAGGAAAACAUUUCCUGGUAUCCCCAAGGCAUUCCUGGAAGAAAUUAGCAUUUGAGUCACAGACUGUAAAGCUGAUCCACUGUCACUAGGGGAGGCAUACACCCCCCUGAAUCAACUAAGGGCUUGACUGUGACAAAAUGCAGAACAGGGUGUACACAUUCACUUCCUGACACCUUUUCCUGCCAUGCAACAGAGGUUGUAGGCUUUGGGGCUUUGGACUCGAGUGUAAGGGUCCAUGAUUCACCAAAGAAUGAUACCUGGUCAGACUCAAAUAGUAUGCAAAAGCAAAGAGCGUUUUAUUCUGCAGAAGUCCAGCAUGCUGGGGUCUACCAUCAACCAAGAUGGAGGCCCCUAGUGAGCUUGAAGACCUGACUUAAAGCACAUUAGGGGAAUUCUGGGAGGGGUAAGUGACCUCUAUCUUAUGUUGUCUAUCUCUAGGGCCCCAUUGCUGGGGCAUGGCGGGGGGAGGGGCUGGAAACUGUUGCUGACAAAUUGCCCUUGCCUCAGGUCAGGAGGCGGGGUGGCUUCUGAUGGUGGGGCAGUUUCUGAUUGCUGGACAGCUUCUGACUGGCUACCUGAGGCCUGGGUUUUUUUCAGUUAACUGAUUUGCAUGAACUUGCCCAGUUCUUGGAAAUAGAGAUUUAGGCCUAGUCUCCUGAAUUGCCAAUUUGGAGCCUGCCAUGGAGUCAGCCUAGCCUUCUCAUUAGGAUUUUGGAUGCUGAGGGCUUUCCUGGUCCUUCUGCUUGUAGCUAGCUCUUCAUGGAACAUCUCAGCUGAGACCAAUACAGCAGCCAUGUCGAAUCACCUAGUUCUGUUUGCCUUAACUUCUCGUCAGGAUCCAAGUCAGAUAUAGCCCCCCUUUUUUUUUUCUUUUUUUUUUUUAUGUCAGGCACUCUGCACAUACAAGGAGAAUGCUUGUUACAUAGAAAAGCUCUACCGGAGAGCUUUGAGAACUGCGCAUUUGUCCUUUGUGUCUGAAACUGAGGAGAACGUGGUGUGGGAUCAUUUAAUCUUGUCCAUUAAUCAAUAUUCUUUCAAGUACCAUGAUUUCAUUUUGGAAAUAUUCAAGCCCAAAUCCAAGGAUUAUAGAAUUUCAAAGUGUGCUGUACUUACCCUGCCUUAUUUAGUCUGUAGUAGGAAAAUCACGCACCUUUGAAAAUACUUCUCAAUUUCUAUCUUUGAUUCGAAUACAGAUUUUGUUUGAAACCUUUCAAAUCGUAAGGAAAUAGCAGUCUGAAAUCCUUAGGUAUGGAGCUCGUGGGAGAGUGGGCGACACCUCCAGAAGGGGCAUGACGCCAGACAGUUGGGGUCCUAGGAGUGCAUGGUCCUUAUCUCACUCUUUCCUUUAUGCUUCUCUGUUGUCUGCAGAAGGAAGGGAUCCAGCCAAUGCUAUGUUGGCAAUGUUGUCAUCAGUCUGUCUCACAAGGGGAAAACUGAAAGUCACACACAUCAUUUGCAGGGUACAUAGACCUUGGUGGCAGGUUGGGUCCCAAAAAAUGCCUGCAAUCAUGCUCCCCAAUCUGUCCUUAGCCGUCAGGAUUUGGGAAUGUGUAAAUAGUGUCAGUCUUUCGUUUGCACUCUGUCAAUCCGUCUGUCCCACUAACUCUCUGGGAAGAUAACCGAGCCCUUGGGUUCCCAUGGUGGAGGCAGAUGGUAGGACGUAUCUUAAUACAGGUGACAUUCAGUAAUCAGCAAGAUAAAGGAUCCAGAUUCAGAGCUGAUGCCUGGGGAGCACAGUCGGUGACGUGCCUAGGAGCCGAGGCUAUUUUUGACUGUGGUAGAAAAGUUGCCACAUGCUCCUUCCCAGAGUCUGGUAGUUUAAAGGUAUAUGAAAAUGGCUUGGAGGUAGGGUAUCAAUGUCUGUACACAGAUUCAGCAUUCUGAGAGAAGUGCAAGUGAUUCCUAGCUCGUAGACAUUGGGGGAGUACAGACACCACUCACUGAGGAGAGAUGAAGUUCUGGGAAACAAUCUAGGGGUCCCUGUCAUGGAGAGGUGCAGACUGGAAAAAGGCCGUCAUAAAGUGAAGGCAGCAGGAGACUGUCUUCUUUGGGAGCUCUGGGCUUCCGCCUCUCCCAGGAGCAGAAGUUGAAAAGAACGGGAGGGUUCAUGUCAAACUAGUGGGUUCAAGUCACAUCUCACUCCCAGCUCCUUGGACAGAGUCUUAACCUCUGUCCAUGUCUUCCCCAUGACCAACCAACCCGCUCUGGUCAGCCGAGACUCAGACCUCACUUCCAUGUUCUUUUUUGUGGGCUCUUCCAGCGACCUGCUCCACUUCCCCAGUGUCUGUGCAUUCAGGCCACACAUCAGCCAGGCCCCUGGGACUCUGAGAUACUCAUCUACCUGCUAAAGAUGGAGGAGUAGGAAGGCCUGAGUGGAUCAAGAAAAGCUAAGAGGGAUAAGAAGAGCAAUACUAUCUUUGUGCAUCUGACCUGUCUGUCUUAGUCAGGGUUUCUAUUCCUGCACAAGCAUCGUGACCACGAAGCAAGUUGGGGAGGAAAGGGUUUAUUCAGCUUACACUUCCACAUUGCUGUUCACCACCAAAGGAAGUCAGGACUGGAACUCCAGCAGGGCAGGAAGCAGGAGCUGAUGCAGAGGUCAUGGAGGGAUGUUUCUUACUGGCUUGCUCCCCCUGGCUUGCUCAACUUGCUUUCUUAUAGGACCCAGGAUAACAGAUGGCACCACCUACAAUGGGUUAGGUCCUCCCCACUUGAUCACUAGUUGAGAAAAUGCCUUACAUAUGGGACUCAUGAAGGCAUUUCCACUACUGAGGCUCCUUUCUCUGUUAUAACUUCAGCUUGUGUUGAGUUGACACACAGCUUUGGUAUCACCAGGUAAAGAAAUUUGGAAAAGAGAUCCUGGCCCUUUUGGGAACUGAGUCAGGCACCAUGCAGUUACACAUGCCCCCUGCUUAUAUAGGCUGCUUGGCCUUUCCUAGUAUGUCACCCCAUUAAGGAUGGGCAAUCUACAUAUGCAGACAGCUGAUGUUACUUUACCCGAACAUAGAAAUAGCCCCCACUGACUUACUCAGAGACCACAACCAAACAAAAAACGAUCCAGACUGACCCAAGGGCAAACAGACCCAGAAAAACUAAUGGUACCUUCCUUAAAUAGACUUUUUUUAUUUGAAAACUCUUCACUUUAUAAAUAGUGUCUAAUUUAACUCCAUAAAAAUAAAUUGGCCAGAUCAUUUGUGUCGUCUUGUGGGAAGAUGAAUUGCAUAAUGGGUCUAGUCAAAUACUGUAGCCUAAAUAUUGACCCUAUUAGAACUGUUGGGCUGAAUUUUUCAGAACCUGAUUCAUCACAUUCCUCCCCUCCUGCCUUUCUCCCUGCAGGCAGCCUGCUUUUGUUUCUGUUUCUCCAGCCCCAGGUGGGAGCCCCAGAACAACCUUGCCCUCUGUGAUGUAGCACUUUUCUGAUUUAUGAGAGGCUUGAAAGAUCUCUGUACUCCACCUGAAUGGGGGUGUCCCUGUGUAAACCUCACAAAGACCACAAACAGCACUGGUAGGCUGCACCUGGGCCCCCAGGCCUUUGAAAGAACCCUGUAGGGCACAGGGAGCAGCCAGGCCAUACCUUGAACUCUGCCGGCUUGUUUUUCCAAGACAUUUUUAUCCAUUAGGGAGAUUUUUCUGGGAUCUGUGUAGAGGUUCUCUCAGUAAACAUUUGCUUAGUCUCUGUGUGGUAAACAUUGCCAAGCCACUUAGGGGACGCAAACAGAAAAAGCUCACAAGGCAAGGCAGUGAGGUGCCUAACUGCCAGUCACAAGCUCCAGCCAGGUGAAUGUGACAUCCAGGUUCAGGUGGAGUUGCCUCGGUUCAUUAAGAAGUAUUUCUCAUGAGAUUCUAGGCUUAGAGGCACUGCUCAUCCCCCAGAGAGAGCCUGACUGGAACUGUGACAAGGAAUGCCUUCACGAGAAGCCCAGAGGGUGAGCACACUUCGGUGCUUUUCUUAGGACCAUAUGGUUUAUCUUCACUGGUAAGAUCUACCCUGUGGAGAGUUUGGGAGAGAGGGAAUUUCCUCCCAGAACAUUCCCCUGCUGUCUUGCUAUCUCCCUGCUGAGACAAGAGUCCUGAGAAGGUGAGAGAACAGCUUGGGCUGGUGCUGAGAACUCUUAGGGGAAGAGCACUCACAUUCCACACCCACUAGAGCCUACCAAGGCUUCCUGGUGACAGGCAAGGAAUACCCCUGCCUGGGCUUUUCCAAGUGGCAGUCUGCAUGAGUGAGCUGAGCUCCCAGGACAGAUGCCAAGUAGGGUGGAGACGACUGUUUAUGGAGAUGGACUAGAGGACUAAGCAGGUUCACAGCAUAACUUUUGCUACGUUUGAUUCUCUUUCUUGAACUUUCCUUUGCAUUGUGGUUCUCACCCAUGCCUCCUUGGAACUUUAGCACACGUUUACUUUGUAGAGCAUCUUUAGUGAGGGGUGGAGAAGGUGAGGAAAAGAAGCUGUGCUCAGAGUUUGAGAAGGUGGUAAUAAGCCAGCUACAGGGGCUAAGACAGAUGCCCAUUCAGCCAACAGACAACAGCCUGGGUCAUCGUUUGAGCCAUAUCAGCCCUAAAACUGAAAUGUUUUAUCUGAGCAUCAAGGGGUGUCACCAGAAGACCAGAAGACUGGGAAGACUGUCAGGAGACAAAUGUUUUAGUUGCAGCAUUAGCUUGGGGAUGGCAGAUGAUCCCUUUCUGUCUUUCCAGGUACUUGGCAGAGGGAUAGAAGACUUACUUGGGUAUCUUUGUGCCUCAUGAGAUGCAUGUAGCCAUGUGAAAGUCCUCAAGAACAGUCAGACCAUCCCAAGUAUAUUGGAAGCUAUUGCUAACCACCUCUUUUUGACGCAGCCCAACCCCUCACCACCAUCAUCUCCCUUUCAAACCACUGUGGUCAAAUAUGGUUCCAGAACAUGUUAAGAGGAACAACUCCAGAGCUGACGUCAGCAGCAUACAGUUCAUCCCAGAGAAUGGCUGCUUCCACACCCUGGUGCAGCUCUCAAGGCUGUUCUGUGGCAUUCUGAAGCUUCAACCCACUCUUAUUCUGGGUCUGUACAUCUAAGACAAAGCACACAAAUGAACCAAGGACAGAGGCUUUCA